AUUGAACGCUGGCGGCAGGCCUAACACAUGCAAGUCGAGCGGAUGAAGGGAGCUUGCUCCUGGAUUCAGCGGCGGACGGGUGAGUAAUGCCUAGGAAUCUUCCUGGUAGUGGGGGAUAACGUCCGGAAACGGGCGCUAAUACCGCAUACGUCCUGAGGGAGAAAGUGGGGGAUCUUCGGACCUCACGCUAUCAGAUGAGCCUAGGUCGGAUUAGCUAGUUGGUGGGGUAAAGGCCUACCAAGGCGACGAUCCGUAACUGGUCUGAGAGGAUGAUCAGUCACACUGGAACUGAGACACGGUCCAGACUCCUACGGGAGGCAGCAGUGGGGAAUAUUGGACAAUGGGCGAAAGCCUGAUGCAGCCAUGCCGCGUGUGUGAAGAAGGUCUUCGGAUUGUAAAGCACUUUAAGUUGGGAGGAAGGGCAGUAAGUUAAUACCUUGCUGUUUUGACGUUACCAACAGAAUAAGCACCGGCUAACUUCGUG
rnacentral:rRNA from 1 species